GGCCCAGAUCGUUUACCGUGAAAAAAUUAGAGUGUUCAAAGCAGGCAGAUCCAAUUUUCUGCCACCGAAUACAUUAGCAUGGGAUAAUGGAAUAGGACCCUGUCCUCCUAUUUUCAGUUGGUUUUGGCAGCGCGAGGACUAGGGUAAUAUGUUUUCAUUAAUCAAGAACGAAAGUUAGGGGAUCGAAGACGAUCAGAUACCGUCGUAGUCUUAACCAUAAACGAUGCCGACCAGCGAUUAGGAGACGUUGAAUACAAAACACCACCAUCGGCGCGGUCGUCCUUGGCGUCGGUCCUUCACGGGGCCGGCGCGAGGGCGGCUUAGCCCGGUGGCACCGGUGAAUGACUCCCCUAGCAGCUUGUGAGA
rnacentral:rRNA from 1 species